CCUACGGGUAGCUGCAGUGAGGAAUAUUGGUCAAUGGGCGCAAGCCUGAACCAGCCAAGUCGCGUGAGGGAUGACGGUCCUAUGGAUUGUACACCUCUUUUGUCGGGGAGCAAGGCCCGCCACGUGUGGCGGGAAGGAGAGUACCCGAAGAAAAAGCAUCGGCUAACUCCGUGCCAGCAGCCGCGGUAAUACGGAGGAUGCGAGCGUUAUCCGGAUUUAUUGGGUUUACAGGGUGCGUAGGCGGAAGGUUAAGUCAGCGGUCAAAUGUCGGUGCUCAACACCGGCCUGCCGUUGAAACUGGUCGUCUUGAGUGAGCGAGAAGUAUGCGGAAUGCGUGGUGUAGCGGUGAAAUGCAUAGAUAUCACGCAGAACUCCGAUUGCGAAGGCAGCAUACCGGAACUCAACUGACGCUGAGGCACGAAAGCGUGGGGAUCGAACAGGAUUAGAUACCCCUGUAGUC
rnacentral:rRNA from 1 species